rnacentral:rRNA from 1 species
CAAACAAGGGACCGUACCCCAAACCGACACAGGUGGUCAGGUAGAGAAUACCAAGGCGCUUGAGAGAACUCGGGUGAAGGAACUAGGCAAAAUGGUACCGUAACUUCGGGAGAAGGUACGCCGCUUGGGGUGAUCGGACUUGCUCCGUGAGCUCCGGGCGGUCGAAGUGACCAGGUGGCUGCGACUGUUUAUUAAAAACACAGCACUCUGCAAACACGAAAGUGGACGUAUAGGGUGUGACGCCUGCCCGGUGCCGGAAGGUUAAUUGAUGGGGUCAGCCGCAAGGCGAAGCUCUUGAUCGAAGCCCCGGUAAACGGCGGCCGUAACAAUAACGGUCCUAAGGUAGCGAAAUUCCUUGUCGGGUAAGUUCCGACCUGCACGAAUGGCGUAACGAUGGCCACACUGUCUCCACCCGAGACUCAGUGAAAUUGAACUCGCUGUGAAGAUGCAGUGUACCCGCGGCUAGACGGAAAGACCCCGUGAACCUUUACUACAGCUUUGCACUGGACUCUGAAUCUGUUUGUGUAGGAUAGGUGGGAGGCUAUGAAGCCGGAACGCUAGUUCUGGUGGAGCCAACCUUGAAAUACCACCCUGACAUAUUUGGGGUUCUAACCCAGGCCCGUUAUCCGGGUCGGGGACAGUGUAUGGUGGGUAGUUUGACUGGGGCGGUCUCCUCCCAAAGAGUAACGGAGGAGCACGAAGGUACCCUCAGCGUGGUCGGAAAUCACGCUUUUGAGUGCAAAGGCAUAAGGGUGCUUGACUGCGAGAGCGACGGCUCGAGCAGGUGCGAAAGCAGGUCUUAGUGAUCCGGUGGUUCUGAAUGGAAGGGCCAUCGCUCAACGGAUAAAAGGUACUCCGGGGAUAACAGGCUGAUACCGCCCAAGAGUUCAUAUCGACGGCGGUGAUUGGCACCUCGAUGUCGGCUCAUCACAUCCUGGGGCUGAAGCCGGUCCCAAGGGUAUGGUUGUUUGCCAUUUAAAGUGGUACGCGAGCUGGGUUUAGAACGUCGUGAGACAGUUCGGUCCCUAUCUGCCGUGGGCGUUGGAGAUUUGAGGAAAGCUGCUCCUAGUACGAGAGGACCGGAGUGGACGAACCUCUGGUGUUCGGGUUGUCACGCCAGUGGCAUUGCCCGGUAGCUACGUUCGGACGGGAUAGCCGCUGAAAGCAUCUAAGCGGGAAGCCUCUUCCAAGAUGAGAUCUCCCCGGGGACUCGAUCCCCCUGAAGGGUUGUUCAAGACCAGGACGUUGAUAGGUGGGGUGUGUAAGCGCUGUGAGGCGUUGAGCUAACCCAUACUAAUUGCCCGUGCGGCUUGACCCU